GGUGAGUUUGAGAAAAUAGGAUCUUGCAUCAAUCUAGAUCAUUAUUUGGAUUCUUUACCUGAGUGGAUCAUGAAGCCAAUCCAAGGUUAUGGGCUCUAAUGGAGGUGUGUAGAGCAGUGGUAUUUCCUACUACUAGAUUAUAAUCUCUAUAAAAGCUUUGUUUUUGCAUUCUCAGAACCUAGAAUAGUGGCACUCAACACAUCAACAGGCUUUUAAUAACUCUGUCUAAAGGAUGAAUGGAUAGAGAAACAAGGCAAAAUAGAAGGACCAGAAGUACUGUUGCCAGGAAAUGGUCCCAGGAGAGAGCUCCCAUGCCAGAAUAAUAGAAUUACAGGUGGUUCAGAAAAAUACAACUGGGCUCUUCUCAGAAAAUACUUACUGCUUUUCCUAAAAUGUUUCCUGGACUGUACGAUCAGAGCCAUUGUGCACAGCUGUGCAGGUUGUACACUGGACAUGGCCAAGAAGGUUGAACAACUCCAUGAUCUAACUACGUAGAUCAUGUAAUUAAUACAAUAUGGUAGCUCUGCAAAUGGUAUGCAGUGAAGAUUCAAAUGGCGGAUAGGCUUCUUCGAGGUGGGCUGCUAUAUGUAAGUGUAAAACAAAGUUCAGAUCAUGAUAACUGCUAAUAAGAUUUUAAUUGUCAUGUAGA
rnacentral:lncRNA from 10 species